GCUCCGGUGGCCUAAGUGGUUAGAGCAUUCGCCUUGGAUGCGGAAGAUCGCGGGUUUGAAACCCGGCCGAGUCA